rfam:Piloderma croceum F 1598 unplaced genomic scaffold scaffold_00018, whole genome shotgun sequence.
GCUUGGUUGGCUCAGCUGGUUAGAGCGCCGGUCUCAUAUGUAAAGUAUGAUCGAUGAUGUUAUUGAAUAAACCGGAGAUCAUGGGUUCGAUCCUCAUACCGAACA